AUGGCCGUGGUGGUGCAGUUUCUGGUUAGAAAGUUCGUUGAUAGCCUUGCGGAGGAGGGAGACGCGGAGCUCCCUUUCAGCUCCCACUUCUACGACAUGAGGGCCGGGUUGGAGAAGGCAGCCACUUCUUCCACCAACACCGAUGAGCUCCGAGAGUGCAUGUACGAACUCAAUAACCUGCUCUCGCAGUGCCGCAUGCUCACCAACCGGCCAAUCACGCGGAGCUGCUACUUCUCCCCCUCCGAAGCGUGGCUUUCCAACAAGGUCAAGCAGCGGGUGAUCGCCGUGAAGCGCAGAGUCCUGCAAUGUGUCCAGAACGACGACCCCAACGGCGAUGCUACAGCCUCGCCGGAGGAGAAUGCCACCACCGCUGGGUUCAGCCGGUGGAGUACUUCUUGGGUUGAGCAGAGCAGGGUCUACGGGUUCGACCAACAGCUCGCGGAGCUAGAGUCCAGGGCGUUCGGGAACAGCAGCCCCGGACGACUUACCGGCGUCGGCAUCGUCGGCAUGGGCGGCAUCGGGAAGACUGCACUCGCGCAGCUCGUGUUCAACAGCCCGUUGGCCAGGCGCCGCUUCUUCCCCAGGAUCUGGGUGUGCCUGUCGCGCACCUCUUGCAUUGGCAAGGAUGUGCGCAAGGAAGUCUUGCAAAGCAUACUUAUGGCCCUCGGACUCGAAGAGGAGUUCAUAUUGGCCAUUGAUAGCCUGGGAGACCUGGAGUUAGCUGUCCAUGAGCAGCUCAAGGGGAAGCGGUACCUCAUAGUAUUCGAUGAUGUCUGGAACAUCGACGACUGGUACGCCAACGUUGCAGGCCAUGCAAAUGCCUUGUCGAGGGGCGAACAAUUGCCGAACGGCCUUGUGCUCGGGUUGCCCAAAGAGAGAGGUGGAGUUGUGGUCGUUACCAGCCGGCAGGAGCAGGCAGCAGAGAUGAUGGUGGGGAAGGGUAGUGUGUACCGUGUGCAGCCACUGGCCGACAGAGAGAGCGCCUGGGCGAUCUUUAUGGAUGCACUGAAUAAGGAAAGACAGCCAAUCGAUCUCGCAGCUAUUAACGACCUGAAAGAGGAAAUUCUUCAGACCUGUGGUGGGCUACCGUCAAUGGCCAAGGCAAUGGCAGACAUCUUCGCAAAAAGUCUAACGUUACCAGCAUCAACUUCUAGCCAGGAACUUAAGCUUGAGUAG
rnacentral:rRNA from 1 species